rnacentral:rRNA from 1 species
AGGCCUAACACAUGCAAGUCGAGCGGAAACGAUGGUAGCUUGCUACCAGGCGUCGAGCGGCGGACGGGUGAGUAAUACUUAGGAAUCUACCUAGUAGUGGGGGAUAGCACGGGGAAACUCGUAUUAAUACCGCAUACGACCUACGGGAGAAAGGGGGCAGUUUACUGCUCUCGCUAUUAGAUGAGCCUAAGUCGGAUUAGCUAGAUGGUGGGGUAAAGGCCUACCAUGGCGACGAUUCUGUAGCUGGUCUGAGGAGGAUGAUCAGCCACACCCGGGACUGAGACACGGCCCGGACUCCUACGGGAGGCAGCAGUGGGGAAUAUUGGACAAUGGGGGAAACCCUGAUCCAGCCAUGCCGCGUGUGUGAAGAAGGCCUUUUGGUUGUAAAGCACUUUAAGCAGUGAAGAAGACUCUUCGGUUAAUACCCGGAGACGAUGACAUUAGCUGCAGAAUAAGCACCGGCUAACUCUGUGCCAGCAGCCGCGGUAAUACAGAGGGUGCAAGCGUUAAUCGGAAUUACUGGGCGUAAAGCGAGCGUAGGUGGCUUGAUAAGUCAGAUGUGAAAUCCCCGGGCUUAACCUGGGAACUGCAUCUGAAACUGUUAGGCUAGAGUAGGUGAGAGGGAAGUAGAAUUUCAGGUGUAGCGGUGAAAUGCGUAGAGAUCUGAAGGAAUACCGAUGGCGAAGGCAGCUUCCUGGCAUCAUACUGACACUGAGGCUCGAAAGCGUGGGUAGCAAACAGGAUUAGAUACCCUGGUAGUCCACGCCGUAAACGAUGUCUACUAGUCGUUGGGUCCCUUGAGGACUUAGUGACGCAGCUAACGCAAUAAGUAGACCGCCUGGGGAGUACGGCCGCAAGGUUAAAACUCAAAUGAAUUGACAGGGGCCCGCACAAGCGGUGGAGCAUGUGGUUUAAUUCGAUGCAACGCGAAGAACCUUACCUGGUCUUGACAUAUCUAGAAUCCUGCAGAGAUGCGGGAGUGCCUUCGGGAAUUAGAAUACAGGUGCUGCAUGGC